UUUGUGUGAUUCUUCCUAGUCAUCAAAUGAUUUGGGACCAUUUGGCUCCUACUCCACCUGGCCUACUGACAUCUGUUGGGAUCACGUGUUUGUUGUGGGACUGCUACUGAGAUGGUGACAACACCUGGAAGAAAAAGAAGGAAAGGAGAAACACUUCCUAUUUCUGUUUGGAGAAUGUGUGGCUACACAGUGAUUGGGGGCCCAUCAGAAAAAGAUGGAGGGGAAAAAGGGGAAAUGAGUUCCUUCAAUUUCUUUAUAAGCUUCAGGAUUGUUCCUCAGUUUUCUGACAGAAGCCUGUUUUGAAUGUACAUCUGUGAGGGAUUUGUUAUAUAGAAUAGACAGGAGAUGCACUGUGUUUAUUUACCCAGAGAGAUGAAAUUCUCAAUUCCCGGUUGCGGGAUGUCCUCAGGCAUGCAGAAGAGGAGAGGGGGGGGAAAAAAGAGGGAGAGGCAAUUUCAUAAGCCAGGUGGUUUAACUCUGCUCUGAAAAGCUGGAUCCCAUCCUCCAUUAGUUCCUAAGUAAUACCAGACGAGUCGUGGAAUUAAACUGGAAGAAAAAUAGGAGUUUCUGAUUUCCCAGGUGCUCCUUUAAUACACUGAGGCUGGAUUUACAGAAGGGAUGAGUGUUCACAAAUGAAAUGUAAAUAUAAGAAGCUGUAUGGAGCAAGAAUCUCUGGAGGAAAAGAGAAGUGACAAGGCUCAAAUUUAUGAUUCCUUUUGACUGUGACACGUCUGGGCAUCAAACCCCAGUCUGCGGAGUGAGAUCUGAUUUCACUGGGGAUGACUGUGCUCACAGCAGUAUUUGUGAUGCGCUCAGACACUGCUGUAAUGACUGCAUUAAGAGUCCCUGAAGAAAUAAGUCAUCCUUUUUUUCAGUCU
rnacentral:lncRNA from 7 species